CACAGAAGGUACACAAUAAAUGGCAGUGAAUUAAAUGGACAAAACAGAUUGCUGUGGAACGGUUUGUGAUUGCUAUUUUGAAAACCUGGUCAUAUAUUUUUAGCCUGCAAAACCUCUGCUUUGACACAUUUCCUCAUGGGGACACACUGCAGCUGCUGAAAGAAGGGAAGUCCCAGCACUGCUUUCUCACCAUGGAACAGCAGGAGAGGAAAGCCUUUUGAAUUCUAGCCAUGAUAACCCUAAAGUUUACAUGGCCACAGACUCCAGCUUUGCCAGGAAAGUUUAGAAUAAAUCCCCUUCCACCCCUGCCCCUGGUGCCAAACUUGGAAGAAUGACUUCAUGGAUGGAAAUCUAUGCAAAUGUCUCUCAUAUUUGGAAUUGAGCUUCUACGAAGGCCAGUGCCAUUUUUCUCCUGCUGUUUACUGCCCAUCUCCAUGGAAAACAAGACACAUUCCCAGAAGUGAAAGUGCAGAUUCAAAGAACCUAAAAGAGGAUUGAAUUCUUCAAUCACACCUGGAUGGACUUUUCCACAAGAUAAUGCCUGCAUGUCAGGCUCAUUCAAAUUCCAAAGAGAGUCAUUUACUCCAGGCUCCAGAAGGAGAUGAGAAGAUGAACAGAAGAGCAGAAGAAUGGCAGAAUGGCAUGGCAGAGAGAAGAAAAGGAGCAUCUGAAUGCCAAGAGGAGUUUGACUGGGUGUGGCCAGAGAGGAGUUCAGCUGCUGGAUGAUCAAACUCCAGGGGAAGAUCAUCUUCCCACUUCCUCCCUGUGCUAGUCCCCCAUCGAUCCCACUGAGAGCCACCUCUUCCACCCAAGAAAACCCCCACAUUUACCACCCUUAAGUCUGUGUGUGAGUUGAUUCUUCUGGGUUGCUGGAUAAGAGCUCCACAUACAGAAAGCUGUCACACUGGCCUUCUGCCAUUGUGAAAAGGCAGAGGGUUCACUGAGCUGGUUAACACGUAAGCCGUCUGCAGAUGGCAAAGCUAAAAGAGCGCACUGUAACACAUGUCACACCCACUUAGGCUUUGGGAGUUGCAGGCACACACCUCUAGUUGCUACCAUGGGGCCAGAGCCCCAGAGCACUCACCCUGGCUCCUGUGCCUGCCUGUCUGCGUGCUCCCCCAACUCUAAAAUGUUUGAGUGUACGGCAGCCGAAUGCAUAGGCCCCCACCCCUGUCGCAUGUUCUGCAAGUGGUUCAGGGAACUCUCCCGUUACGAUAAGGAGAAAUACAAACUUGUUGACAAUCUUAGAACAUAAUUGACUAAAGAAUGACUGAAUUUUCAACUAUUCUGUAAAUCUAAAAUUAUUCCAAAAUCAAGUUUAUUAAAAAAGAAACAAAAAGUAAGCUACCAUGUGAUGAGGGAGACAGCUCUAGUCACUGGAAAUGUUGAAACAGAGUAUAGAAAAUCUCUUGGUGGGAAGUAUGUACAAUGGACUGAAGCAUGAGUCAAUUAUCCAGUGUAUUUACUACAUUUAUAUUGACAUGUCACAGAGAGGAGGGGACAGAAAGUAUUGUGUAUGACAGAUUCAAUAUUAAAAAUUGUCAUGAUAGGUUGCAACCAACCAGGUAAAAUAUCAAAAGGAUAAACAUAAUGCCACACAUUUGGGUUUACAAUCUCAAUUGCUUUAUAUAUAUUAAAUAAAAAUGUAUAGUACAUAAUUAAU
rnacentral:lncRNA from 1 species